CAGUCGCCACGGUAAUACGAGGGGUGCAAGCGUUAUUCGGAUUGAUUGGGUGUAAAGGGUGUGCAGACGGCUUAUUAAGUCACUUGUUAAAUUCUUCGGCCUAACUGAAGGUCUGCAAGUGAUACUGAUGAGCUAGAGGGUGGAAGAGAGAAGUGGAAUUCUCGGAGUAGCGGUAAAAUGCGUAGAUCUCGAGAGGAACACCAAUGGCGAAGGCGACUCUCUGGUCUGUAACUGACGCUGAGGAGCGAAAGCGUGGGGAGCGAACAGGAUUAGAUACCCGCGUAGUCCCUGUCUCUUAUAC
rnacentral:rRNA from 1 species